rnacentral:rRNA from 1 species
UACGUAGGGGGCAAGCGUUGUCCGGAUUUAUUGGGCGUAAAGAGCGUGUAGGCGGCCAGGUAGGUCUGCUGUGAAAACUCGAGGCUCAACCUCGAGACGUCGGCGGAAACCAUCUGGCUAGAGUCCGGAAGAGGAGAGUGGAAUUCAUGGUGUAGCAGUGAAAUGCGUAGAGAUCAUGAGGAAGACCAGUGGCGAAGGCGGGUCUCUGGACAGUUCCUGACACUGAGGCACGAAGGCCAGGGGAGCAAACGGG